GGUGGUGUGCAUGGCGGUUCUUAGUUGGUGGAGUGAUUUGUCUGGUUAAUUCCGUUAACGAACGAGACCUCAGCCUGCUAACUAGCGAUGCUCUUCUUUGAAGGGUAGCCCGCCUUCUUAGAGGGACUAUUCGUGUCCAACGAAUGGAAGUUUGAGGCAAUAACAGGUCUGUGGAUGCCCUUAGAAUGUUCUGGGGCGCACGCGCGCCUACACUUGAUGGAAUGCAACGAGCUCUACCCUUGACCCGAAAGGCCCGGGGUAAACUUGUCAAAAAUCCAUCGUGAUGGGGAUAGGAUUAUUGCAAUUCUUGAAUCUUCAACGAGGAAUUCCUAGUAAGCGCGAGUCAUCAGCUCGCGUUGAUUACGUCCCUGCCCUUUGUACACACCGCCCGUCGCUCCUACCGAUUGAAUGGUCCGGCGAAAUCUUCAGAUUGCGGCUGCGACGGCUAACCCCUGACGCUGUGAGAAGUUGAUUAAACCUUAUCAUUUUAGAGGAAGGAGAAGUCGUAACAAAGGUUUCCGUAGUGAACCUGCAGAAGGAUCAAUCCAUAUGACUAGUAGAUCCUCUAGAGUCGACCUGCAGGCAUGCAAGCUUUCCCUAUAGUGAGUCGUAUUAAA
rnacentral:rRNA from 1 species